rnacentral:rRNA from 1 species
GACGAACGCUGGCGGCGUGCUUAACACAUGCAAGUCGAGCGAUGAAGUUCCUUCGGGAAUGGAUUAGCGGCGGACGGGUGAGUAACACGUGGGUAACCUGCCUCAUAGAGGGGAAUAGCCUUCCGAAAGGAAGAUUAAUACCGCAUAAGAUUGUAGUACCGCAUGGUACAGCAAUUAAAGGAGCAAUCCGCUAUGAGAUGGACCCGCGUCGCAUUAGCUAGUUGGUGAGGUAACGGCUCACCAAGGCGACGAUGCGUAGCCGACCUGAGAGGGUGAUCGGCCACAUUGGGACUGAGACACGGCCCAGACUCCUACGGGAAGCAGCAGUGAGGAAUAUUGCACAAUGGGCGAAAGCCUGAUGCAGCAACGCCGCGUGCGGGACGACGGCCUUCGGGUUGUAAACCGCUUUUCUGAGGGACGAGCAAGGACGGUACCUCAGGAAUAAGUCUCGGCUAACUACGUGCCAGCAGCCGCAGUAACAC